AAUUUUGUUAGUUAAGAAGAAGGAUGGGAGCUGCAGGUUCUAUGUGAACUAUCGGGCUUUGAACAAAGUGACAAUUCCUGAUAAGUAUCCAAUGCCAGUACUUGACGAAUUGCUUAAUGAGCUUGGGGGUGCUACCAUAUUCUCCAAGAUAGAUGGUAUCACCAAAUUAGGGUGAAGCCAGAAGAUGUACCGAAGACGACGUUUAGAACCCAUGAGGGACAUUAUGAAUUUCUCAUCAUGCAUUUUGGGCUGACAGACACUCCGACAGCCUUUCAAUCGCUCAUGAAUGAGAUUUUUAGGGGUUACUUACGGAAGUUCGUGUUGGUGUUUUUUGAUGACAUUCUUGUUUACAGUCGCACAACUGAGAAGCAUAGAGAUCAUUUGAGAACAGUGAUGUAGGUGUUGGCCGACAACCAUCGAUAUGCUAAUGAGAAGAAGUGUCGGUUCGAUCAACGGGAAUUGGAGUAUUUGGGGCAUGUUAUUUCAGCUUCUGGGAUAGCGGUGGAUAAAUCUAAAGUGAUAGCUAUGAGGGAUUGGCCGAGGCAGACAACGAUCAAGAAAUUAAGGGGAUUUUUAGGACUCACGGGAUAUUAUCGUCGGUUUGUGAAAUCAUGUGGGAGCAUAGCUUGGCCCUUGACGCAACAGUUAAUAAAAAGACAGCUUUGCAUGGAUGGAAGAGGCAAAGGAAGUGUUCAUAAAAUUGAAAAAUGCCAUGAUAACUAUGCCAAUUCUAGGAUUGCCCAACUUCACACAGCCGUUAUGGUAGAAAUUGAUGCCUCCGGGUAUGCAGUACAGGUAGUUCUCAUGCAAAACAGGAGACCCAUUGCGUACUUCAGUCAGACACUCCCUCCACGGGCUCAGCAUAAGUCAAUAUAUGAAAGGGAACUCAUGGCCAUCAUAUUAGCAAUACUGAAAUGGAUGCAUUAUUUGUUAGGCAGAUUUGUGGUGUAACCUGACCAACGAAGCCUUAAAUUCUUGCUGGAACAAAGGGAGGUGAACCAGGAAUACCAAAAAUGGCUGGCUAAACUUUUGGGGUUCGAUUUUGACAUCGAGUAUAAGGCUGGUUUGGAAAAUAAAGCAACAGAUGCACUUUCUAGGGUGGACGCUACAGCAACAUUAUUGGUCCUAAUUAUGUCUCAUACCCUGAAAUUAACAGCGAUCGAGAAGGCAGUAGAAGACAAUACUGAUCUGGGACGGGUGCUAAAGUCCCUACAAAAUAGUCAAACACAUUUUCCUGGUUAUUCCUUGUUACGGGACAACUUGAUGUAUAAGGGCAGACUUGUGCUACCAAGAGACUCAUCGUUUGUACAAAUAGCCUUACAAGAAAGACAUGACAGCAAGGGAGGAGAGCAUGGAGGUUUUCUGAAGAUUUAUUGAAAAGUGGCAAAGAACUUCUAUUGGAAAGGCAUGAGAAGGGACAUCAAGGCAUAUGUAGCCGCGUGUGAAAUUUGUUAGCAACACAAGUAUUCCGCCCUGGCACCGACGAGACUGCUCCAAUCGCUACCUGUUCCUGACAAAGUAUGGGAGGAUAUUUCGAUGGAUUUUGUGGAAGGGCUGCCAAAAUCAGAAGGGUUUGAUUCAAUUUUCGUUGUAGUAGAUUGUUUAAACAAAUACACACAUUUCAUUGGCUUAAACACCCAUUUUCAGCCCCAUCAAUUGCUGCAAUUUUUGCUAAAGAAGUGUUUAAACUACAUGGAAUAUCUCGUUCGAUAGUUUCGGAUCGAGAUAAGGUGUUUGUGAGCCAAUUUUGGAGUGAGCUUUUCAGAUUGCAUGAGACAUCACUAAAGCAUAGCUUGGCCUAUCAUCCACAAACCGAUGGGCAAACGGAAGUGGUAAAUAGGAUAGUAGAGACAUAUCUACAGUGUUUUACUUCAAUGAAACCAAAACAGUGGUAUCAGUUUCUUUUUUGGGCCAAAUACUCUUACAACACUUCUUAUCAUGUAUCAGCACAACUCACCCCUUUUCGCAUUCCAUACGAAUGCGACCCACCCUCGUUAAUUCGCUAAGAGGUGGGUACCACAGCCAUCUCAUCCUUGGAACAACAAAUGCCAGAACGAGAUAGAGUUUUGGAUGAAUUAAAGAUACACCUCCAUAAAGCCCAGCAACAAAUGAAGUUGGCGACUGACAAACAUAGAAGAGAUGUGGAAUAUGUGGUCGAAGACUGGGUUUAUGUGAAAAUGAGACCGUAAAUCACUAGUGGUACGUCACAAGGGAAAGUUAGCCCCGAUUUACUACUGACCGUUUGAGGUGUUAGCCAAGGUAAGAAAGAUGGCCUAUCGCCUCUCACUACCAGUUGCUGCUUGUGUCCAUCCUGUUUUCCAUUUUUCGCAACUAAGAAAGAUGGAGGGAAACGCUCCAGUAACAUCUUUCCUACCCCCCAACUCGAUCAAGAUUGGGAGUUACUUGUGGAACCAGAAUUUGUCUUGGAUUCAGACAGCCAAAACAAGGUACAACGGAAGCUAUGGAGGUCCUGAUUCAGUGGAAGGGUCUGUUGCCUAUGGAAGCAACGUGGGAACCAUUUGACUUAAUAAACAAGUAAUUUCCUUCUUUGAACCUUGCGGACAAGGUGACUGCAUUGGGAGGAGGGGUAUUUGAUAAGCCCCCAAUUAAAUUUACAUAUACAAGACAUCAAAAGGCCAAGCAAGCACAAGGUGGGGAAGCCAACAACCUGCCAGUAGGGCUCAAUGGGAAUCUCUAGAAGGAUGCUGAGUCAUUAAAUUUGUUUGGGUCUGUUAGUCUGUUAGAGUUGGUUGGGAAAGGGAUAAAAAUAAACAUUUAAGGGGAGGGAGGGGAGGGGAUAUGAAAGAAAUCAAGUAAGAAAUAGGGGAAUGGAGAUUCAUAAUUUCCAUUAAGUUCUCUUUUACAGUAUUUGUUUCCUUUUGAAUCUAUUCUACCCAAAGUUUCUACAUAAUUCGUCUUAUUCUCAGUGUUCUUUUCUAAUUCUGGGCUGAAUUCCGGAUUUCACC
rnacentral:lncRNA from 1 species